GCCAGGCAAGGUGUUGCAUGCCUGUAAUCCCAGCAGCUCUGGAGGCUGAGGCAGGAGGAUUGUGUGUUCAAAGCCAGCCUCAGCAAAAGCAAGGUGCUUUUGCUCAGUGAGACCCUGUCUCUA
rnacentral:sRNA from 1 species